rnacentral:rRNA from 1 species
UACCACCACCCCGAGCGGUCGGGACGAUUAUUGGGCCUAAAGCAUCCGUGGCCGGUCAUGCAAGUCUUCCGUUAAAUCCAGCCGCUCAACGGUUGGGCUGCGGAGGAUACUACGUGGCUAGGAGGCGGGAGAGGCAAGCGGUACUCAGUGGGUAGGGGUAAAAUCCUUUGAUCCAUUGAAGACCACCAGUGGCGAAGGCGGCUUGCCAGAACGCGCUCGACGGUGAGGGAUGAAAGCUGGGGGAGCAAACCGG